CUGUAACUUCGGGAGAAGGUACGCCCUUUGGUGUGAGACACUUUGCGUGUUGAGCAUUGGAGGGCCGCAGAGACCAGGUGGCUGCGACUGUUUAUUAAAAACACAGCACUCUGCAAAUUCGUAAGAAGACGUAUAGGGUGUGACGCCUGCCCGGUGCCGGAAGGUUAAUUGAUGGGGUUAUUCUGGCGACAGGAGAAGCUCUUGAUCGAAGCCCCGGUAAACGGCGGCCGUAACAAUAACGGUCCUAAGGUAGCGAAAUUCCUUGUCGGGUAAGUUCCGACCUGCACGAAUGGCGUAACGAUGGCCACACUGUCUCCACCCGAGACUCAGUGAAAUUGAAAUCGCUGUGAAGAUGCAGUGUACCCACGGCUAGACGGAAAGACCCCGUGAACCUUUACUAUAGUUUUGCACUGGACCUUGAUAAUGACUGUGCAGGAUAGGUGGAGGCUGAGAGGUAUGGACGCCAGUCUGUAUGGAGCCGACCUUGAAAUACCACCCUGUUGUUGUUGAGGUUCUAACCAGGAUCCGUUAUCCGGAUUUGGACAGUGUAUGAUGGGUAGUUUGACUGGGGCGGUCUCCUCCCAAAGAGUAACGGAGGAGCACAAAGGUACCCUCGGUACGGUCGGACAUCGUACUAUGAGUGUAAAGGCAAAAGGGUGCUUGACUGCGAGACUGACGGGUCGAGCAGGUGCGAAAGCAGGUCUUAGUGAUCCGGUGGUUCUGCAUGGAAGGGCCAUCGCUCAACGGAUAAAAGGUACUCCGGGGAUAACAGGCUGAUACCGCCCAAGAGUUCAUAUCGACGGCGGUGUUUGGCACCUCGAUGUCGGCUCAUCACAUCCUGGGGCUGCAGCAGGUCCCAAGGGUAUGGCUGUUCGCCAUUUAAAGUGGUACGCGAGCUGGGUUUAGAACGUCGUGAGACAGUUCGGUCCCUAUCUGCCGUGGGCGCAGGAGAAUUGAGAGGAGCUGCUCCUAGUACGAGAGGACCGGAGUGGACGAACCUCUGGUGUACCGGUUGUGACGCCAGUUGCAUCGCCGGGUAGCCAAGUUCGGAAGGGAUAACCGCUGAAAGCAUCUAGCGGGAAGCCUCCCUCAAGAUGAGUUUUCCCAUGAAGCCUGUUGGAGACUACAACGUUGAUAGGCGAGGAGUGGAAGCGCAGUAAUGUGUGGAGCGGACUCGUACUAAUUGGCUGAUUGUCUUGACCGU
rnacentral:rRNA from 1 species